CAGAAAGUUACUCAAGGGCGUACGGUGGAUGCCUUGGCUCUCAGAGGCGAUGAAGGACGCGAUAGGCUGCGAUAAGCCGCGGGGAGGUGCAGAAUAACCUGUGAUCCGCGGAUCUCCGAAUGGGGCAACCCAUCCCGUUGAAGACGGGAUACCCUGAAAAGGGAGCUAACCCAGGGAACUGAAACAUCUAAGUACCUGGAGGAAAAGAAAACAAGUAGUGAUCCCCCUAGUAGUGGCGAGCGAACAGGGGACAGCCCAAACCGGGACCGUUUCGGCGGUGCCGGGGUUGUAGGACUGCGUCGUGGACUCCAUAUGUGUAGUGGAACCCUUCUGGAAAGUUGGACCAUAGCGGGUGAUAGUCCCGUACACGAAAUGCAUGUGGUACCUAGCAGUAUCCUGAGUAGGGCGGGACACGUGAGAUCCUGUCUGAACCCGCCGGAACCAUCCGGCAAG
rnacentral:rRNA from 1 species